rnacentral:rRNA from 1 species
GACGAACGCUGGCGGCGUGCUUAAUACAUGCAAGUCGAACGAUGAUGCCAGCUUGCUGGUGGAUUAGUGGCGAACGGGUGAGUAACACGUGAGCAACCUGCCCCUGACUUCGGGAUAACCGCGGGAAACCGUGGCUAAUACCGGAUAUGACGCGCUAUCGCAUGGUGGUGUGUGGAAAGAUUUAUCGGUUGGGGAUGGGCUCGCGGCCUAUCAGCUUGUUGGUGGGGUGAUGGCCUACCAAGGCGACGACGGGUAGCCGGCCUGAGAGGGUGACCGGCCACACUGGGACUGAGACACGGCCCAGACUCCUACGGGAGGCAGCAGUGGGGAAUAUUGCACAAUGGGCGCAAGCCUGAUGCAGCGACGCCGCGUGAGGGAUGACGGCCUUCGGGUUGUAAACCUCUUUCAGUAGGGAAGAAGGCCUUCGGGUUGACGGUACCUGCAGAAGAAGCGCCGGCUAACUACGUG